rnacentral:lncRNA from 1 species
CCCACACGCCACACACCAGGCCCCACGCGGGCGACCAGCGGGCAACCAGCCAGCGACCCCCACCCCCCGAGGCGCGGUACCAGGCGCGCAGUGCCCGGCGCCGAGCUGCGCCCAAGAUCCGUGCGCCCUGGGUGUCCGCGGGAACGGCCGGACGAAGCCCGUCGGUGGCGGCGGGAGAGCUCGGCUCACGCCGGCUUCCCGGCAAGUCGCCGUUCCAGGCACAAUUUUUCCACUUCUGCUGCCGGCAGCCGCGGCGGUGAGAGCAGAAACAGCCGAUCCCUCCCAUUCCCAGCCCCCGACACCCGUCCCAGUCCCGGGGACGGUCCUCUUCCCUCCCCGCGGGUUCCGGGAGCGCGGGAGCGCGGUUCCCGCGCCAGCCGCCGCGCACACAGCCCCGGCUCCGCCGGCCGCGACGGUUCCGCCAGCGCCCGGGCUGGGUACCCCUCGCCGGCGCCGCCCGACCCCACCUGGCCGGGGCUGCGGGCUCUCCCUCCUGCAGCACGCGCGGGGCCCGGCGACUCCAACUCACCCGGCCCGGCUCUGUGUCUCCGGCCCCGAGCUCGCAGCCUUCCCCCGCCGGGGCUUUCCGUUACGCCUCCUCGCAGCCAGCCGCUCCGGGAGGGAGGAGGCGGCGGGAGGAGCGGGCGAGGGAGGGGAGGGGAGAGGAGAGGGUCCCCGGGUGGGGGAGGAGGCGAGGCGAGAGUGCCGAACUCCGCCGCCGCCGGCGGGGCUAGCGAGGAGGAAGGAGAGAAAGGGGCGGGGGCGGAGAAAGAAAGAGGCCGCCGAGCCUCCCUGCCCAGGACCCGGCCCCGCGCCGCAGCCCAGUCACCCUCGCCGCCCGGGUCCCGCUCUCCGGCCGGGCGUCCGGGGGGAGGGGUCGGGGCCCGGGGCUCUCCCGGCGCGGCGCGCGGGCGGGGCGGCCGGGGGCUAGGCGGGGGCGGUGGCGGGCCGACGAGGCCCGGCCUCCGGAGGGGAGUGUCCUGCGGGGCCCGGGAGGCUGUUGGCGAAAGGGGAUCCCCGGGAGGAGGGGCAGAGGCCCCGGGGCCUGGGAGCGGGUCACUGCGCCCGCCGGGUGGCGGCGGCGGCGGCGCCUCCUGGAAUCCUGCGGGGGACCCCGGGGCCGCGGCGGGGAGCCUUCGGGGGGCAGUUUCGGGAAACCGUCUCAGGAGCGCCGGCAAUGAGCACGGCGCAGGCGGGGAGCUGCAAAGUCGGAGUCGAGGGUGA